AUAAAUUUUGGUGUAUAAUUAAAUACUUGCACUGUACCUCAUAAGGUUCCUGCCAUAAGUUGUUAAAACUACUUGUUUAAAUUAUUGAGUUAAGUUUACGUGAGUCACAUGACCCGGAAGUGGCGAGCGGGAAACAGACAGCGGGAGUCCGACAGAGAAAGGAGGCGUCGCACGAGCAAGGCAGAGGACUUUUAUGCUUAUCGAUCUUAUCUACCACUGGUUUACGUGGUGUACACGUUUUCACGGUGUUCCAUGAGUCUUCAGAGAAGAAAUAAACAGAUUGUGGACAUCAGUACGAAGCGUGGAUUCUUUGCAACCAGGGCAGUUACACCUCCGUCUCGCACGCUGAUGCUUUUUGAAAAAAGACUGGGUCAAAAAUUCUCCACAAUGAUGUCAGAGACUAAUAACAUGCAGAAAACCACAGCUGCUGUAACUGUAGUUUCACUUCCGAUUUAAUAAUGGAGACAACUUACUUUUCUCACACUCUCACAAUGUUUUCAUUCUGUUUUUGGUUUAGUUCCUUUGAUAUUUUUAUUUCUUGUCCUGUUGUAUGUUCUUUAGUUUUCAUCUGUGCAUGAAGUUCAGAUUGGACAUUUUGUGUUUGGGGUUUAUUUUGUUCUGUUCUUGUGUUUCCUGUAUUCCUUAGACCAGUUUAUAUUGUUAGUCUUGCUUCUUGUUUUAAUGAUUUAUUUUACAAUGUGACCUAAUAUGUAAAACCUUUGAACUCAAAUAGGGGGUGCUUACUUUUUCACAUGACUGUAAAUGUUAUGUUUAAUAUUAGGUAAAGUACAAUGAAUGUGGAUGGGUUAUUUAUAAGAAGCAAACCCACCUUCCACUGGGACUCCUCCGUAAAGAUCUCCAUCUCAGCUAUAUCCACCCGAUUCCAGGCAAUAGCCAGCUCCAGCUGCUUCCUCCAGCUGUCCAUUGCCAGUGUCUCACUGCUCUUUGAAGCUGAGUGGAGGAUUUACAACUUUAAACAAAUGCCUUUACAUUUAAUUAAAAAACUGACUGUA